CCUACGGGAGGCAGCAGUGAGGAAUAUUGGUCAAUGGGCGCGAGUCUGAACCAGCCAAGUAGCGUGAAGGAUGACUGCCCUAUGGGUUGUAAACUUCUUUUAUAUGGGAAUAAAACGUUCCACGUGUGGGAUUUUGUAUGUACCAUAUGAAUAAGGAUCGGCUAACUCCGUGCCAGCAGCCGCGGUAAUACGGAGGAUCCGAGCGUUAUCCGGAUUUAUUGGGUUUAAAGGGAGCGUAGGUGGAUUGUUAAGUCAGUUGUGAAAGUUUGCGGCUCAACCGUAAAAUUGCAGUUGAAACUGGCAGUCUUGAGUACAGUAGAGGUGGGCGGAAUUCGUGGUGUAGCGGUGAAAUGCUUAGAUAUCACGAAGAACUCCGAUUGCGAAGGCAGUUCACUGGACUGCAACUGACACUGAGGCUCGAAAGUGUGGGUAUCAAACAGGAUUAGAUACCCCAGUAGUC
rnacentral:rRNA from 1 species